GCCAGAUGCCAGGGAGAGGAGAGCAGAGGAAUUGCAGACGAAGACAUGGGCGGAAUUAGAGAAGCCUCAGACACUGAAGAUUUCUGAACAAACUCACAGCCUUCUUCAAAACAAAAACACUGAAAAAAAUUCGAAAUGUGGGGAGCACAAAGUCCCUUUGUUUGGGAUACACCAAUUGCUGCAGUUCUUAAGAAUUGAAUUCAGGACCUUGCACUUUCCAGGCAGGCGCUGUGUUGCUGAGCUGUGUCCCUGGCCCUAAAGACUGUCUCUUAGUGGAUUCUUCAGUUGGCAAUCAGAGGAACAAAUAUUUCAUGAGUCCUUGCAUGCUGAAAAUCUUUUCCCUAUACGCUGUUACACAUUCUCAGCUCACAUCUUCUCUGGGUAGUUUUAAGUGUAUUAUUUCAUUUUUUAAAGGCUAAAGUGCUGUUAUUGAAAAGUUUAACACAAAUAUAUGUUAAUCUAAGUGU